UGGGGAAUAUUGCACAAUGGAGGGAACUCUGAUGCAGCGACGCCGCGUGAACGAAGAAGGCUUUCGAGUCGUAAAGUUCUUUUAUAUGGGAAGAUAAUGACGGUACCAUAAGAAGAAGCCCCGGCUAACUACGUGCCAGCAGCCGCGGUAAUACGUAGGGGGCUAGCGUUGUCCGGAAUCACUGGGCGUAAAGGGUUCGCAGGCGGAAAUGCAAGUCAGGUGUAAAAGGCAGUAGCUUAACUACUGUAAGCAUUUGAAACUGCAUAUCUUGAGAAGAGUAGAGGUAAGUAGAAUUUUUAGUGUAGCGGUGAAAUGCGUAGAUAUUAAAAAGAAUACCGGUGGCGAAGGCGACUUACUGGGCUCAUUCUGACGCUGAGGAACGAAAGCGUGGGUAGCAAACAGG
rnacentral:rRNA from 1 species